UACGGAGGGUGCAAGCGUUAAUCGGAGUUACUGGGCGUAAAGCGCGCGCAGGCGGCCCGCGAGGUGUCACGUGAAAGCCCCGGGCUCAACUCGGGAGGGUCGUGGCAAACCGGCGGGCUUGAGGCCGGUAGAGGUGGGUGGAACUCCUGGUGGAGUGGUGAAAUGCGUAGAGAUCAGGAAGAACACCCGUGGCGAAGGCGGCCCACUGGGCCGGUGCUGACGCUGAGGCGCGAAGGCGUGGGGAGCGAACGGG
rnacentral:rRNA from 1 species